AUCGGAUUUUUGAAGAUCCGGGCGCGCUGUAGUAGGGGGUCGAGCGGCGGGCGGAUAUCUGGAGGGCAGAGAUGGGAUGCAGUAUUCAGAAGAGGAGGAGGCGGAGGCCGAAGCGGAAGAUCGCCUCCUGGACCUCUUCCACCAUUCUCUGGUGCGGCGUCAACAAGGCCGUCCUCGACAGUCGUGAUCCCGGCAGGGCAGCAGUCGCUUCCUCCCUCGGACUGUUCUCGAGGCCCUCCAUGAGCAUGUGGCCGCACUGUGCUGGGAACCCGGCUCAACGUACGUCCUCCUCAGUUGUUUCUCCGCCUGCUUGAUGUUUAAUUCUUUUCCCUAUACUGAUUUGCUGAUGUUGCUUGUGGUCCGAGCGAUGUACCUCGGGGUCAAGCCGGCAAGAUCGCCGCCUGCAGGAGUGGUGCAUGUCAGGUAGACGUACCACCGGGAUGGGGUUGAGGGGCUGCUGGAGGCGGUUGACUUGGAGGGAGAAAUGAGCAAUGGUUUGCGGCUUAAGUGGUGGCUGUGAUGUACGCUCUAGCCCCCUGAACUAACUCAGUUAGGUUUUGUCAGAAGUGGAUGCAGUCCAGCAGGGGUUUGGAGUCCCACAAGCAGGGUCUCGGAAGCGGUCCAGAAAGGAUUGAGCAAUGAGGACAACCAAAAUGAUAUAGUAGGAGGCUAUCCAUGGAAGUUUCCUCGGACUGGAGCCACCAUGCCAUUCCACACAAACGUCUGAAGCUGGAGUGUGUCAAGUCCUUUGCGGUGCAAAGCAGGAUGUGUCACUGUGGAUGUCCCCAAUUGGACAACAAAAAAACUUGCAUAGAGAGGGGCACACACUACAUCAAAUUAGUUUUCUUCAGAUCGACCUCAUUGGACGGAUAUAUUAUGUGUGAAAUUUGGCUAUUUGGUGGUGGAUAGUCUAUCACCAUAGUCUUAUUUUCUUUUCUUACCUUGGCACGCUGAAGACUAUUUUUCCUUGACAAACGUUAGAUUUUGAGGCAUCCAUGAUCUGGCUCUGUGCUUCCAGCACACGAGCUUGUGGUGUUCGGAUGUUGGUGCCUGGCAGUCUACAGAGCCACUAAUGAACUACCAGGACAUAUCUGCCAGUAAUACAGGAGCGUGAUGUUAGUACUGGAUUGUGUGGCCUACAAAGUUUUCUCUAUAAUGUCUCCACAAAGGAUUAUAGAUGUUGACUACCUUUUUAAACUGAGGUAAAUCAAUCCCCUUCUAAGUUCUUCUCUACUUUGCUUCUUCACGCAGCAAUUUCUGUACAUUUAUGUAUUUGUAUGCAGAUAAUUUGUGCUUUUUUUUCCUUUUUUCCACUGUUCCUAAUCAUAUAUGAGUCCCUGAUAAAAAAAAGAUCUGCAAUAAGUGCCAUUUUCGAACUCUUCUACUCUAUGCAUGUGAUUGCAGCAAGUAGAUCCAUGGUCCUGAAUGUUGUUAGCAUAUUCCUUAAUGGCCAUACACCAAACUUCUCUGAUUUUGUUAUUUUAGCUUUCUUCGUCAACAAUAAGGUUAUUUUAUCUUUCUGAAUUGUGAUCAGAUCUUUGUUAUACAUGGGACUGUGCAAUUUUCCAGCAUAUAUUUUUUUUCUCUUUGUACCCAUUUAAUGCUAGAGAAUUACUUCCUGGAGGGUUUCUUCCAAAUUGAUUGUUAAAAUUUUCACAUUAAGAACUCAUUGACCUAUUUUUCUGAACAUUAAAUUGCUGUCAUCUUUCCACUGAAGUUUUGAAGCUUAUAGGUAUUUCUCCUGCAAGUUUGUCUUAUUUUUCUAUAGAAAACCUCCAUAUUAUGUUCGCCUUCCGGUUCAGAAGUUGCCCAUCCAUAGUUCAGCACACCCUCCUGGCCCCACUCCGCCGCGGUGACCAAUUAUUAUGUGUCAUGUUAAGUUGUUGCCACUGGAAGAACGAGCAAAUAUGAUUAUUUCCUAACUGUGAUAAUUGCAUGUGUAAGUCCUUUGUUUAAUUCUAAAUAAGAUUCUUCAGCUGCUAAUUUCUUUUAGGAUAAAUCCCAGAAACCGGACAUAUCCAUUGUGUCUGGUCAAGAAAAGAUUGGGAGCAUAUGAUUUGUUCUGUUUAUUGGAAGUUGAAUAUGAAACUCUCAAACCUUCGUGGAUCUUGCUGCCCGUAGGAAGAUUCCAUGUUUUCUCAGCUAAAAUAUAGCCAGUGGUACAGAAGAGAUUUUUCGACAGUAUGAACACAUCAGCGUGUAUGCUCUUAUGCCAAUUCCUAUCUUCACUGAAUUGUAUUACUAAGAGUAGAGAAGCUACAACAUCCAGUGCGUAUCAGCCUGCCAAUGGCUUCCCCGAAUUAAACACUUUCAGUGGUACUAUUACAGUUUGUAGUUUGAGGAUAUAAACUGAACAGGUAAUCCUUUAGUUCGGCCUUGCUUCAGUGAAUAAGUAUCAUAUUACAGUUAUAAAUCCUUGCGUUCCAGCUGGUCAGAGCAUAUAUAGGUAUGAAGGUGUACAUCGACAUUACUAUGUAAACUCAGUUCCUCCAUUAGCACAAUUUAUUACUUUCUUAUAAGAGAUCAUAGGCAAUAUUAUGUACGAUUUCUCAACCUGAUGAGCUACUUUAAGGUGUUUUCAUACAAAAUGAUACAUACCAUAUCAAAUCUUCCGAUAAAUUGUAACUUAGCUAUAAUUUAGUUCGACCGUCAUAUUUUAUCUAUGAUAUAUUUAUUUUCAAAAAUGUGGUCUAAUGAUUAAUUCCCCUAAUUAUCUCUAUGAUUUGCACUUUAAGAAGUCAGAGGGAAGUCGGGAACAGUUGAAGGCCCUAUUGAUAUUCAGUAAUUCAGUACAUGGCCUAUUUGAAUCAAAGGAUUGAACAGAGAGUGGAUGAUUGAAAUACUUAGAAUAUUUUCUGAUGGGAGUUGUUUGAUUUAUCACUUAAUUUCCCACGGGAUUUAUCACACAUUUUAUUAAAUGAAUUCCAUUUACUAAAAACCUAUUUGAAAGAAUAUAUUACUUAUCCUAUGGCUCAAUAGAAUAACUAAUUUAGUCAUGUCUAAUUUCAUUGGGAGUGACAUUGCAAUUAUACCUUUGGCACAUUUUUGGAAUAUUCAAAAGCGGGUCCCAUGGUUGCAUAAAAUUGAUACAAACAAUGUUCUGUUCAUGUUUUGAGUAUUGAUCACGUGUGCUUAUGUUGGCAGCAGUGUAGAAUCUAUAUAAUAAUUACUAAUAAUAGCAUGCAUAUUGUCUUAUAUCAGUAAAAAAAUUAUUAUCAUGGUGACUAGCUUUAUUUAGACGUGCUGACCACACUAGGUAGUCCUCAAGUUCUAAUUUUCAUUCUCACACAAACCAUUCUCCCACAUUCCGGUAUUUCAAAAUGCAUUAUGAUACAACUUUCAACCGUGGGUCCACAACCAAGUCCUAACAUACUUCAAGUUUAUAGAUCUGUUGUUUCAAAUUAACAUGAAGUAAUUAAUAAUUUUUGGGCUACAUUUCUCCUUCAUUUUGUUGCAUAUAAGGAUAGCUCCCCAACUACUUUGCAUGUUUACUAAACAUUGCAAUUAUACCUAUGGGUACAUCAUUUUGUUUCAGCUGAUCCUCUACAUAAAAUGAUCGCUCUCCAGAAGAAUCAUGUGAGGAAGUUUGACAAGAUAGAACAAAAUUGACCUUGGCGAAAAAAGCAGUUCAUCAUGUAAUUCGCCAAUCGAUAAAUUUAUGCUUCGGUGAACAAACAAAUCUACCAGUUCGCUCUUUCCUUUGUUGGUCCAAUCUUUGUUUUCAAGUUCUGCUAUUGGGUUGUAUACUAGAUUAAUUUGAGUGUGCAUAUCUUUUAUUUUUUUACCUGUCAUGCCAAAUAUGAUUAAUUACCAUAUAUACCAACAUGUUGGCCAAGAGCCCAAGAGCCCAUUUCAAACCUGCAAGACUUAGUGUAUUUUGCUUUAGUAGUGAUGUCAUAGGUUUGCAUGUACUAUUUGAAGCAACAAUUCUCCUUGGCCUAUGCAUAAUAAGAACUAACGAUUUGAAAUCAAAUACAGGAACAAGACCAUCCUCCAACAACAAAUUUCAGGUUUGUGCAAAUGGUAGUUGCAGAGGUUCAGUGCUGAAACUACCUAUAGAUGCUACAAUGUCACACGGACUGUUGCACUUCAAGGCACGGCAGCUCAGAUCACAAAUUGAAUUACAAUUCAGAAUGUCGAACUCAGUGAACUUCUCAGCAUGAUAAAAUUCACAUUCACUACGCGAACUUGUAGUAAAUACUGGAAAAAAGAGCAACAUACCAGGCACCGAGAGAUCUACUUCACCAACAUGAAUGGUCCUCUGGCAUCCAGGAGCUCAUCCUAGGUCGAUGACGCCCAAGUGCAGGAUCUCGGCCGGCCGCAAGACUCCAUCCCUGCAGGAGCCAAGGAACGAGGAACUCUUCCUCCUUUUUAUGGCUUACCUUUUUCAUUUAUUUUUCUGGGUCUGUGGUUGCAGGAGUCAUCCUCCUCUCACUGGCAUUUUUUGUCUUCUCUGGCUGGUGGUGAAGCCACUCACAGUUUCAGAAAAAAAUACUAGAUAGAGAGUAUUACAGAAAUAGUGAAAAUAACGGUCAGAAGGGAGGGCACAAUAUUACAGAGCUAGCACAUCUAGCCAAACCACCAUAUAUAUAUUUGAGUGCCAUCAUCUACUGUUAGUCUUUCCUAGAACAGACUACUGUUGUGCAGCAGCUAUAGAGAGCAAUUCAUCUAAA